CCAAAACGGGCCUGGUGGGAAAGCACUCACAUCUGUCACUACGAUGAGACAACAGGCAAGAACAAUCCUGCCUACACCUGCUUAGGGGUGUAAAACUGUGGCGGUGAAAACUGAUGUUUCUGAUAUGGCUGCUCAGAUGGCUCCAAGUGUCUGCAGAAAUGUCUGACCUCCCCUGCAACGAAUUUCAGAGCUUGACUUCUGGUUCCUGCUUCAAAUACCAUCUCACUGCUUAACUCCAAUAGAAAACAACUUGACCACCCAACCAUGCUUGACAUCUGGAAAUAGAAAACGACCAGCUAGACAAACACCUGCAGAGGAGACGCUAACCUUUCCUGCCAUGGCGCUGUUUAAGCUAUCUGGAAAAUGCUAGCAGAAAAGCACAGAGCUCCUUUGUCCUCAAAACACUUUAUUUUGCUGUGAUUUAUGAUGUGCCGCUAUAAUACAUGUCGCAGAAUGAAAGAAAAAUACCUGAACUCAUUGUUUUCUGGAGUGUUGUUUUCAGGGUUUCUUGGUGCUUACUGCCAGACCAGUCAAAUAUAUUGGAAAAA